CUGGCUUUUAAUGGCCAAAGGUAUAGAUGUGUGUGUCCAAGUUAAGGCUGCCUUCUUUUAAUAGAUUGCUCAUAGAUUGAUUAGUUAUGUCUACAAGACUGGAGGGGAGCUGUUGGCUUGCUUUGGUCAUUCUGGAUGAAGCUGCCAUCACUGCUACAUCGUGUCCGGCUAUCUUCAUUCAUAUCUCCCCUUUCCUAGGAAACAGAAAAAAAGGGGCUCACUAUCAACCUGAUAAGUUUGAAAGAAGAUUGGUGAUUCAAGGGAUAGUUUCAAGCUCGCGACUCACCUUUAACAUCUGAUCUGAAGACAUCUGGCAACUAAACAGCAGUGGCUUCAGCUGCAGACGGUCUCUCCUCUUGUGGACCAGUGCACUGAUGCUGACUUUACAUGAUGUAAAAGUCUUCACA